GCAGUGCAUCCCAUCACAUCGCAGUGCACCCAGUUUCUUCCACUUCACCCAUUGCCUUCCACUGCCCCCAGAGCCUCCCAGUGCCUCCCAGUGCCCCCCAGCCGAGCCCCCAGAGCCCACUCCCUUUGCUCUCCCCCUCGGGACUGGCGCAGGGACCCGGCUCCAUCCCGGCCGGGCUCUGUCCCCACUCCCUGGCGUCACCCAGCUCUCUCCACGCUCACUGGGACGUCUGCCCAGUGCUGGCACUGCUGCGAGACGGCGCCAUCCCCCCCCCCGGCGUCACCACCCCCAUCCCCGCAGGGGACAGUGGCCUGGACCCGCUGGGCCCCGUCUCGCCUGGGCUUAGUGGCUUCAGCUCUGCUGCAGCGUCAGCUGCACCGAGAGUGCCCGGUCCCUGCCCGCGGCACCCUGGGGAGCGGAGGGGACACCCGGCACUGCCAUGGGGACACCGGGGGUGGCCGCCAGCGGGGUGCUGGGGCACGGUGGGUGGGGGCGAUCCCAUGGCCGUGCUGAGCCAUCGGCUCGGCUGGGGACCGGUGGCCGCCUCCGCACGGGGUGGGGACCGUCAGGGCGCGUGUCCCCGCAGUCUCCGUGAUGCACAUCGAGGGCGUGCGCCAGGGCCACCAGUCGGAGGGGCUGCGCAAGUACGGCGGCUCCUUCCCCGAGCGGCACUGCUUCACCAUCGUCUUCAAGGGCAAGCGCAAGAACCUCGACCUGGCGGCGCGGGGCGAGGAGGACGCCCAGCACUGGGUGCAGGGGCUCACCAAGCUGAUGGCGCGGCUGCAGGCCAUGAACCAGCGGGAGAAGCUCGACCACUGGAUCCAUGGCAUCCUGCAGCGAGCCGACAAGAACAAGGACAACAAGAUGUGCUUCCAGGAGGUGAAGAGCAUGCUGCGGAUGAUCAACAUCGACAUGAACGACAUCUACGCCUACAAGCUCUUCAAGGUACCCGCCCUGCGCCCUGUCACCCGCUGUCACCUGGCUGAGGGCACGCUGGCUCCUUCCCUGCCCAACGCAGAGGACUGUCAAACUCAUUGCACCCUGAGCGCUGCCAAUGUCCAGGUCCUGUCGUGAUGGGAG
rnacentral:lncRNA from 1 species